AGGUAGGGGCGGUGGUUUAAGAGCUUCUCUUCAUUACUUCAAGUAUAUAUCUCCAUUGUUUCUGCGAGGAGGACAUGUUUAUCUUUGCGCAAGGGUCUGACUAUUCAAGCUUCUUGCCAGUUUAUGGUGACGUCAUUCUGUAUAGCUGCGACGGAUAGGGCUAUGUUAUUUCUCCCUUUUGCUAAGUCCUUCUUGUGCUCAUCAAGUUGCUGUUUUAGCCCUCUAGUAGUAACUCCUAUGUAUACUUCUUCUUCAUGCAUAGUAUUAUUUUCUAUCUGUAUUCUAUACACACCUGACUUACAAUUGGAUUGGAUUUUAUUUUUAUCAUUAUGAAGUUGAUUGUACACGGUUGGGAAUCUUUUGUAUGUGAUCCUUUUAUUUGUUUUUUGCGCUAUUUUCUUAACCCUACAACUGCCGCACUAAUUACGAUGGCAUUGCCGUGGUAAUUA
rnacentral:lncRNA from 1 species